rnacentral:sRNA from 1 species
GGAUGGCUAGGCAGGUGGUCCCUUCCUCUCUCAAGGCUCCAUGAGCGUCCCUCCCAAAGCUGCAUGCUCAGUCGAAAAGAAGGAAUAUACCCCAUAGAAGAGGACUGGUCAAGGGUAUAGGAGUAGCUGCGCGCCCUUGUUAACAAGCUCUCAAGGUCCUCCAAACAAGCUCCGGCCUGUUUU